AGCGAACGCUGGCGGCAGGCCUAACACAUGCAAGUCGAACGAUCCUUCGGGAUAGUGGCGGACGGGUGAGUAACACGUGGGAACGUACCUUUUGGUUCGGAAUAACGCAGAGAAAUUUGCGCUAAUACCGAAUGUGCCCUUCGGGGGAAAGAUUUAUCGCCAUUAGAGCGGCCCGCGUUCGAUUAGCUAGUUGGUGGGGUAAAGGCCCACCAAGGGUACGAUCUAUAGCUGGUCUGAGAGGAUGAUCAGCCACACUGGGACUGAGACACGGCCCAGACGCCUACGGGAGGAAGCAGUGGUGAAUCUUGCGCAAGGGCCGAAAGCCUGACGCAGCCAUGCCGCGUGAAUGAUGAAGGUCUUAGGAUUGUAAAAUUCUUUCAGUAGGAACGAUAAUGACGGUACCUACAGAAGAAGCCCCGGCUAACUUCGUGCCAGCCGCCGCCGUAA
rnacentral:rRNA from 1 species